rnacentral:rRNA from 1 species
AUUCCAGCUCCAAUAGCGUAUAUUAAAGUUGUUGCGGUUAAAAAGCUCGUAGUUGGAUUUCUGCUGAAACAAACCGGUCCGCCCUCUGGGUGAGCAUCUGGUUUUGUUUUGGCAUAUGCUUAGACUUUGCAGCUGCACUUGACUGUGUGGUGCGAAGGCUGAGCCUUUUACUUUGAGGAAAUCAGAGUGUUUCAAGCAGGCCAUUGCCUUGAAUACACUAGCAUGGAAUAAUAUGAUACGACUGCGGUUUUAUUUUGUUGGCUUUUAGAAUUAAAGUAAUGGUUAAUAGGGAUAGUUGGGGGCAUUCAUAUUUAACUGUCAGAGGUGAAAUUCUUGGAUUUGUUAAGGAUGAACGACUGCGAAAGCAUUUGCCAAGGAUGCUUUCAUCA